GUCGGGAUAGCUCAGCAGGUAGAGCAGAG
rnacentral:tRNA from 32 species